rnacentral:tRNA from 1 species
GCGGAAAUAGCUCAGUUCGUAGAGCAUAACCUUGCCAAGGUUAGGGUCGCGAGUUCGAGUCUCGUUUUCCGCU